UACGUAGGGUGCAAGCGUUAAUCGGAAUUACUGGGCGUAAAGGGCGCGUAGGCGGACAGUUUAGUCAGAGGUGAAAGCCCAGGGCUCAACCUUGGAAUUGCCUUUGAUACUGGCUGUCUUGAGUUCGGGAGAGGUGAGUGGAAUGCCGAGUGUAGAGGUGAAAUUCGUAGAUAUCGGGAGGAACACCAGUGGCGAAGGCGACUUCCUGGCCUGUUCUUGACGCUGAGGCGCGAAAGCUAGGGGAGCAAACGGG
rnacentral:rRNA from 1 species